AUGUCAGUAGCUAAAACGCCGUAACCCUCACGUUCGCGUUUGGGAAGAAGGCAAUGCAAACAUCCCGCGGUGCCGGAAAGCUCUGCUUUCAGGAAGCGAAGCUUGCUCACAUUACGCGGGUUCGAAUCCCGCCUGACGUU
rnacentral:tRNA from 1 species